AGGGUUUGAUCAUGGCUCAGAACGUACGCUGGCGGCACGCCUAACACAUGCAAGUCGAACGAAGUAGUAAUACUUAGUGGCAGACGGGUGAGUAUCAUGUGGGUAUCUGCCCUUUGGUCUGGAAUAACACGAGGAAACUUGUGCUAAUACCGGAUAAGUCUUUACGGAGAAAGCUUUAUGCACCAUUGGAUGAGCCCGCACUUGAUUAGUUUGUUGGUGGGGUAAUGGCCUACCAAGACUUUGAUCAAUAGCUGAUUUGAGAGGAUGAUCAGCCACAUUGGGACUGAGACACGGCCCAAACUCCUACGGGAGGCAGCAGUGGGGAAUCUUGCACAAUGGAGGAAACUCUGAUGCAGCGAUGCCGCGUGAGUGAAGAAGGCCUUUGGGUUGUAAAGCUCUUUCGUCGGGGAAGAAAAUGACUGUACCCGAAUAAGAAGGUCCGGCUAACUUCGUGCCAGCAGCCGCGGUAAUACGAAGGGACCUAGCGUAGUUCGGAAUUACUGGGCUUAAAGAGUUCGUAGGUGGUUGAAAAAGUUGGUGGUGAAAUCCCAGAGCUUAACUCUGGAACUGCCAUCAAAACUUUUCAGCUAGAGUUUGAUAGAGGAAAGCAGAAUUUCUAGUGUAGAGGUGAAAUUCGUAGAUAUUAGAAAGAAUACCAAUUGCGAAGGCAGCUUUCUGGAUCAAUACUGACACUGAGGAACGAAAGCAUGGGUAGCGAAGAGGAUUAGAUACCCUCGUAGUCCAUGCUGUAAACGAUGUGUGUUAGACGUUGGAAAUUUAUUUUCAGUGUCGCAGCGAAAGCGAUAAACACACCGCCUGGGGAGUACGACCGCAAGGUUAAAACUCAAAUGAAUUGACGGGGACCCGCACAAGUAGUGGAGCAUGUGGUUUAAUUCGAAGAUACGCGCAGAACCUUACCAACACUUGACAUGUUCGUCGCGACUUUAAGAGAUUAAAGUUUUCGGUUCGGCCGGACGAAACACAGGUGCUGCAUGGCUGUCGUCAGCUCGUGUCGUGAGAUGUUGGGUUAAGUCCCGCAACGAGCGCAACCCUCACUUUUAGUUGCCAUCAUUUAGUUGGGCACUCUGAAAGAACUGCCAGUGAUAAGCUGGAGGAAGGUGGGGAUGACGUCAAGUCCUCAUGGCCCUUACGUGUUGGGCUACACACGUGCUACAAUGGUAUCUACAACAGGAAGCGAAACAGCGAUGUUAAGCAAAUCCUUAAAAGAUACCUCAGUUCGGAUUGCACUCUGCAACUCGAGUGCAUGAAGCUGGAAUUACUAGUAAUCGUGGAUCAGCGUGCCACGGUGAAUGCGUUCCCGGGUCUUGUACACACCGCCCGUCACACCAUGGGAGUUGGUUCUACCUUAAGGCAAGGCAUAAAACCCUUGACCACGGUAUAGUCAGCGACUGGGGUGAAGUCAUAACAAGGUAACCGUA
rnacentral:rRNA from 1 species